CGGAGCGUGGCGCAGCUUGGUAGCGCGCAUGGCUGGGGGCCAUGAGGUCGCAGGUUCGAAUCCUGUCGCUCCGA
rnacentral:tRNA from 1 species